UUUCCAUUCGCAUGUGUUCUACACUUCUCCUUGAACAAACGUGUACUGCUGCUAAGAGCCCAAAAACGGAGAGUAGUCAAAAUCUUCUUCAAUUGCUCUAUUUCUUAAUUGAAUUUUGAUGGAGAAAAUUACCCCUCAUUUGACCACAUUUUUUACGUUAAUGUUUUUUUUGGGUUUGCAGAUAGUACUUUUAUGAUACACAUUGGAAAAUGUCAGGUGUACUAUAUGAUCAUAGUUUGAGAUAAAAUAAUAGUGGGCAGUUGCUGCACAAGGCAUAGACCAUGUUCUGUUUAAAGCUCCCUAAAUUUUAUUCAACCUAAGUAAACAUAAAAAUUAAUAGUGGGCAGUUGCUGCAUAAGGCAUAGCCCAUGUUCUGUUUAAAUCUCCCUAAAUUUUAUUCAAUCUAAAUAAACAUAUGGUUGUCAUUUA